GAGGGGGCUGUGGGGGAGCCCUGAGGGAGCCCGGAAAGGGCCGUGAGGGGCCAUGGAGAGGCGGGGGAAGCGGUGAGGGAGCCGUGAGGGGAUCAUGGCUGAACCGAGAGGGAGCGUGUUAAGGGCUGUUAGGGGACUGUGGAGAGGCGGGUGGGAGCUCUGAGGGAACCGUGAGGGGGCCGUGAUGGAGGCGCCACGGAGAAGCAUGAGGGAGCCAUGGAGGAGCCGUGAGGGAGCCAUGGGGGAGCCGUGAGGGAGCCCGGAAAGGGCUGUGAGUGAGCCAUGGAGCAGGCGGGAACCGUGAGGGACGUACGCUGUUACAAUUCAUUAAUUAGGAAUUAAAUGAUAUUUUCAUUUACAAGGAGAAGCCUAUGCUGUCUCUUCGCUUUGUAUUCCGUUUGUGAUGUACCACAAGCACCCUGUGGAGAGGAGGAACCGCCGUGGCAGGGGGUUAUGCUGGAGAAAAAUAAAGCUGAAUUGCAUCAA